AGAAUCAACGCUGGCGGCGUGCCUAACACAUGCAAGUCGAACGAGAAAGUGGAGCAAUCCAUGAGUAAAGUGGCGACCGGGUGAGUAACACGUGACUAACCUACCCUCGAGUUGGGAAUAACAUCGGGAAACCGAUGCUAAUACCGCAUAACAUCGCAAGAUCAAAGCAGCAAUGCGCUUGAGGAGGGGGUCGCGGCUGAUUAGCUAGUUGGUAGGGUAAUGGCCUACCAAGGCUUAGAUCGGUA
rnacentral:rRNA from 1 species